rnacentral:rRNA from 1 species
CCCGCUGAACUUAAGCAUAUCAAUAAGCGGAGGAAAAGAAACUAACAAGGCAUUCCCCUAGUAACUGCGAGUGAAGCGGGAAAAGCUCAAAUUUAAAAUCUGAUGGUCUUUGGCCAUCCGAGUUGUAAUUUAUGAGAAGCGUCUUCCGCAGCUGGACCCAUGCACAAGUCUCCUGGAAUGGAGCGUCAUAGAGGGUGAGAAUCCCGUCUUUGGCAUGGAAUCCCCAGGGCUUUUGUGAUGUCGCUCUCGACGAGUCGAGUUGUUUGGGAAUGCAGCUCAAAAUGGGUGGUGAACUCCAUCUAUAGCUAAAUAUUGGCGAGAGACCGAUAGCGAACAAGUACCGUGAGGGAAAGAUGAAAAGCACUUUGGAAAGAGAGUGAAACAGUACGUGAAAUUGUUGAAAGGGAAACGCUUGAAGUCAGUCGCGUCGACCGAGACUCAGCCUUGCCUCGGCUUGGUGUACUUCUCGGCUGACGGGUCAGCAUCGAUUUCGAUCCUUGGAUAAUGGCGAGGGAAAGGUAGCACCUUUUUUUAGGUGUGUUAUAGUCCUUUGUCGCAUACGAGGGUCGGGAUUGAGGAACUCAGCAUGCACCUCAGGGUGUCGGGGCCUUGGCCCACGUUUACGUGCUUAGGAUGCUGGCGUAAUGGCUUUAAACGACCCGUCUUGAAACAC